AGCUCCAAUAGCGUAUAUUAAAGUUGUUGCGGUUAAAAAGCUCGUAGUUGGAUCUCGGCAGUCAGGGGGUGGUUCGCUUUUCGGCGCUACUGCCCCAUUUGACUGUGUGAUUGGCGGAGGUUUCGAGGUGCUCUUCGUUGAGUGACUCGGGGCGCCGUCAGGUUUACUUUGAAAAAAUUAGAGUGCUCAAAGCAGGCUUACACGCUUGAAUAUUCGUGCAUGGAAUAAUGGAAUAGGAACUCGUUUCUAUUUUGUUGGUUUUCGGAAAUCGAGUUAAUGAUUAAUAGGGACAAUUGGGGGCAUUAGUAUUCAGACGACAGAGGUGAAAUUCUUGGACCGUCUGAAGACUAACUACUGCGAAAGCAUUUGCCAAGAGUGUUUUCAUUA
rnacentral:rRNA from 1 species